AAUGAAAAUUUAUAAAUUAUAACUAUACUAAAACCCAACACAAAAACACUGUUCAUUAAAAGUAAACAGACUAAAGUACCCUCCAAUUCCUUUGUUAUCAGCCAUUUUUUACCACUUCUACAUAUGAAAAAGACGAUUUUGUCCCCAUCGCUGCACCUUCUGCUACGACAAAGCACUGUUCGCUUCCAGAAAGCAUGAUCACUAGAAACCCUUCGUUCUCCAUUUGCCGUUAUCGUUCAACUCUGAUUUAGCUACCCUUCGUCAACUCUGAUUUAGCUACCCUUCGUCAACUCCAAUAUAGCUACCCUUCGUCAACUCCAAUAUAGCUACCCUUCGUCAACUUAACUUUCCUGCGCAACUCUCUCUCCGAAGCACCAAAUUCUUGGCCAAAUAGAACAUCAAACUCCCCGAUGGUCACCAACUCCAGUUCGAGAUCGAGAAGCACUCUGUCAACGACAUACCCGACGCUAAGAUUCAUAAGGUCUCAAUAUCGAAGAAGAUUUCAUACGCUCUUUGUCGACGAUGACGACCUGACGCAAAUCCUGUCUCGAUUUGAAGAAAAUUCUUCAAGCAGCUUUGAAUUCACGUUUUUGUUCUAUUGGUGUCCAUUGUCUUUGUCAGCUUAAGUUCUUGGACUACAAUGGGAGUGAGUUUCUCAUGCACUGGAUAUGGAGUGUUCAAGGUGAACCUUUUUCUCUAUGUAAGUACUAUAUUUCCUUCAAUCCAAAAUUUCAGCAGUUGUAUAAUCUCACUCAUCAUAGCAUCUAUUCGUCAUUCUCAUUUCUUGGUCCAAAUUGCAUCUUAAAAUGUGGUUGAAUGUCCUUCACAUCAAGCACCAAUCAACCAUAUCACACUUGCAUUGCAUAAUCAUUAAGUUCAUUUCUUCAAUAUUUUGGAUGUAGAUGCCAAAUGGUAUUGAGGAACAAUUUUAGCCUUUAUACAGUUGGUUCUAUUUUUUUGAACAAGACGCGGAAGAAGAACCAUUGAUAGUUGCACAUCUAUGUUGCAGAGAUUUGAUUCAAAUUGGUGGAUUUGGGUAAGAAACUAAGAAACCCUAACAUUUCUUUCGGUUUUAAGAGUUGAAAUGGACAUGCAUGUGUUAUCAUUAUGAGAUAUAAGGGGUUGAGGAAUUUUGAGAGUGGUGGCUAGCUAAGGAAAUAGAGAAGGGAUAAUUCAUUUAGUUUUGAGAUCCAGAAUUUAUUGCAAAGUUGAAUUCUCAUGAUUUUUUUGUUGUUCUAAUAUCUUUUGUUCAUGUAUUUGAAUGCACUAUUUUUAUUCUUGCUAAUUUAUCUGAACCCCAAUUCAAUUUGCUGGAAUUCAUCAAAGAGUAUUGGGUCUAAUCAUUUCCCUUUAAUUUUUCUAAGUUGUUUUUUUUCAUUUCUAUAGGGGUGUUGCAGGUGUCCAUGUCAUAUUCAUAAGGAAAAAGAACCAUUUUUCUGGAUAUAUUGAAACAUGUAAGAAAUUGUUCUCUACUAACAUAUUAGGGUUUAAUUUCUCUACUAACAUGUAAGAAAUUAUGUUACAUGUUUAGUUUCUUUUAGUUGUACUAUAUAGAUAAAUGUGUAUGUAUUAGUAUUCAAUUUAUCCCCAUUCUCGUAUGGUGUUUACUAAACUAUUGUUGCACAAUCUCUGAUGGUUCCAUUGUUGGGCAAAAAUUUGAGAUUAAAUUUAAUUACAAA